UGGAGUAAGAAGACAAGAGUGGGUUCUUGAUACAGCAUAAGGUAAGUGGACUCAAGUCUGGAGAUUAGUCUUCAGUGAGUACUGGUAUGGACCGAAGUCGGUGAUUUGAAGGUAAGAGGUUUCACACGUCAUAAGGUAUCUCAUUAAAAUAGUAGGGUCAUGGGGCUGGAGUGACAGUUCAGUGUUUAAUAGUAUUUACUGCUUUCCCAGAGGACCAAGUUUGGUCCUCAGCACCCAUGCUGGGCACGUCACAGUUGCCUGUAACUCAAGCUCCAUGGGACCCAAUGUCUUCUGACCCCAGCAGGCAAUCACACAAAGAUAUACACUUGCACAUGAAUAAAAAAAAUUCACAAAGAUAUGUGAGUUGGAAGGCUGGGGAUAUAGCUCAGAGUGUUUACACAAGACCCUGGGUUCUAUCCCAAGUACCACAUAAGCCAGAUCUGGUGGCUCAAACCUGUAGUCCUGACACCCAGGAAGUAGUAGCAAGGGAGACAGGUGUUCAGGGUUAUUAUGAGCUACAUACAGAGUUCAAGGCAACCUGGGAUACAUGAGCCUUAUCUUAAAUAUUUUAAGAUGUUUGAACCAGCUUCCUCUGAGUUAUAUUGCAGUUUUAAUAUGUAUCCCCAAAUUGAGUGUUUAGCUCCAAAUGGUAUGUCUUUCUCACCCUUACCACCACAAAGUUCAGGGAAUAUCAAAGGAGGAAGAGAGCGUGGAAAGAAUUUAAGAGCUGGAUGGUGAGGAAGAGUGCUGUGGAAUGUAAAGUUCCACAUGGCUAUUGCACUCAUGACCUUAGGAUAGCUAUGGUUACCCUCACAAGAUCUGCAUGAGAUCAGUCUAGCCAAAAUUCUCACAUAGAUUGGGGAAGCGUUCUCCAAGCUCUGCCUUUACCUAGGAGCUAGCUGUUGGCAUUUGGUAACUGCUGUGGGAGGAAGAAUGAGAUUUUAAAAUGUGUUGCCACUGGUAGAUUUUCCAUGCUCCAGUAGAUGGCACCACACCCACGCAAACAGAGGCACGACAAAUUGGACAUAGUAGGUUAUUAAAAAAAAAAAAAGACACAAAAUUGGGAGGAGACAUUUUAGGGAGGACUUCAAAAGAGUUGGAAGGGAAAAUGGGAGGUGGGUAUGAUCAUGGUUCAUUUGUAUGUAUGUAUGAUGUUCUCAAGAAUAAAGAAAAAUUACUAUUGAAAAAUGAGGUGUAGAGAUGGCUCAGAAGUUAAGAGGACGUGCUGCUCUUCUAGAGGACUCCAGUCCAGUUUCCCAGAACCCAUCCCAAGUAACUCACAGCCACCUGGAACUCCAGCUUCAAGGAUCAUACACUCUCUUCUGGAUCCCACAGGUGUUGUUCAACCACAUCAAUGAACCAUUUUACUUCUGACAUGACAUUCUUGAAAGAGAGACUGAAAAUUUAUCUUUUACUAGUUAAGUUCUGUAUCACUUUUCCAUGUUUCUAACUAGGUGUGUGCUUUUUUAUGUAUUCAUUGUACAAAAUAUUGGGUAUCAUUAUGACAUUCUCAUGCAUAUAUACCAGGUAUUUUGAUCUUUGUUACCUCAUCACACUUCCUUGUCUUUUCUCCCACGUCCUACUGGUACUGUUCCUCUUCCUAAAAAAGUCUCUUGCUUUCAAAUCUUUAUUUUAUUUUAUUUAUGCAUAGAUUAGAUAUAUGGGAGAAAACAUGAGAUACUUGUUUUUCUGGGCCUGGGUUAUUUUGCUUAACAUGAUGAUCUUCAGCUCCACCCAUUUUCCUGCAAUAGGAUGUGUUCUUUUAUGGUUACAUUGUAUAUGCCUAUUUCUUUAUCUAGCGGUCUAUUGAUGGACACCUACACAGACUGUGAUCACAGUUUGGUGAUUGUGAGAUAAGCAGGCAUCUCAGUGCCAUGCUAACUUGGAAUCCUAACGAGAAAUACUUAGGAAUGAUAUAACUGGAUAAUAAGAUUUUCUCCUCUUAAAGAAGAUUGGUUGAAAAAUAAAAGACGGUGUGUAGCAGAAGUCAGAAGAAGAGAUUUCAAUGUCCCAAAUCUCAAGUUCAAGAUGGUUGUAAGGUGUCAUAUGUUUGCUUGGAGCUGAAUCUGGGUCCUCUGCAAGAACAGUAAGUUCUCUUAACUGUCGAGCCAUCUCUCUAGCUCCUUUGAAAGUGCCAUUGUUUCUCUUUAUGUCUCUCCGUGCUUUUAUGGAAAAAUCUGUUGAGUAUAAGUAUGUGGGUUUGUUUAAGACCUUUCUACCCCAUUUCACUGACCCUAACCCUAACCCUAGUCCUUACCCUAAUUAAGCUCUUUAUUUUGGUAGCAUCCUCUUUUUUCCAUAUGAGGAAAUUUUUAAUUUUAAACAACAAAUAGCAUGUAGCCACAAGUAUCCAUGUUCUAUUAAAAUAAUCUAAAACCUAGGUAUGAUUAUAUUAAUUUGGCUUUAGAAAACUAUUUGAAAACAUUUUUAGUUUUUUGAGACAGGAUUUCUCUGUAUAGCCUUGGUUGUCCUGUACUCACUUUGAAGAUCAGGCUGUCCUCAAACUCACAGAGAUCUGCCUGCCUCUGCCUCCCUGAGUGCUGGAAUUACAGUUGUGCGCCACUGUGCCUGGCUUAUUUGAUUUUUUUUUAAAAUACAUACAAAAAUGUUACCAUAUGCCUAGGAAAAAAAUUAAAAUAAGUGUACAGCAUGCUGAAUUACAUACAGCUUCCUGCAUUAAACUCACAUUUAUUUCACCUGAGGAAAAUGAAAACUUUCAGAAAAAAAAAAAGCAUUACUAUGGAGGAAUAAAACACUUCAUUUUUAAAUUGCAAUUCAUUAAUCCUGAUUAUCUAUGAAUUCAGUGUAUGUGUCUCUUCCACUUAGGUUCCUGAAUGCUCAAAUGGUACAGUACUUUGCUUUCCAGCUUCACAAUUUUCCUCUUUCCUCUUUCCAAACUCUUUCUUAGA